AGGAGCCGUGCAAGAUGAAAGUCUCAUGCACGGUUUUGCCUUCGAGGGAUUUUUAGGAUCAUUCAGGCUAUAUAUAUUUAGUUUAUUUUGGCUUUUACUGUCUAUUUUGC
rfam:Triticum aestivum genome assembly, contig: Triticum_aestivum_CS42_TGACv1_scaffold_499389_6BL